AUACGUAGGGGGCGAGCGUUGUCCGGAAUGAUUGGGCGUAAAGGGCGCGUAGGCGGCGCGGUAAGUCUGGAGUGAAAGUCCUGCUUUCAAGGUGGGAAUUGCUUUGGAUACUGCCGCGCUUGAGUGCAGGAGAGGUAAGUGGAAUUCCCAGUGUAGCGGUGAAAUGCGUAGAGAUUGGGAGGAACACCAGUGGCGAAGGCGACUUACUGGACUGUAACUGACGCUGAGGCGCGAAAGUGUGGGGAGCAAACAGGAUUAGAUACCCUGGUAUUCCACACUGUAAACGAUGAAUGCUAGGUGUAGGGGGUAUCGACCCCUUCUGUGCCGCAGUCAACACAAUAAGCAUUCCGCCUGGGGAGUACGGCCGCAAGGUUGAAACUCAAAUGAAUUGACGGGG
rnacentral:rRNA from 1 species